UGGGAUAACUUCGGGAAACCGGAGCUAAUACCGGAUACGUUCUUUUCUCGCAUGAGAGAAGAUGGAAAGACGGUUUACGCUGUCACUUAUAGAUGGGCCCGCGGCGCAUUAGCUAGUUGGUGAGGUAAUGGCUCACCAAGGCGACGAUGCGUAGCCGACCUGAGAGGGUGAUCGGCCACACUGGGACUGAGACACGGCCCAGACUCCUACGGGAGGCAGCAGUAGGGAAUCUUCCGCAAUGGACGAAAGUCUGACGGAGCAACGCCGCGUGAACGAAGAAGGCCUUCGGGUCGUAAAGUUCUGUUGUUAGGGAAGAACAAGUACCAGAGUAACUGCUGGUACCUUGACGGUACCUAACCAGAAAGCCACGGCUAACUACGUGCCAGCAGCCGCGGUAAUACGUAGGUGGCAAGCGUUGUCCGGAAUUAUUGGGCGUAAAGCGCGCGCAGGUGGUUCCUUAAGUCUGAUGUGAAAGCCCACGGCUCAACCGUGGAGGGUCAUUGGAAACUGGGGAACUUGAGUGCAGAAGAGGAAAGUGGAAUUCCAAGUGUAGCGGUGAAAUGCGUAGAGAUUUUGGAGGAACACCAGUGGCCGAAGGCGACUUUUCUGGUCUGUAACUGACACUGAGGCGCGAAAGCGUGGGGGAGCAAACAGGGAUUAGAUACCCUGGGUAGUCCACGCCCGUAAACCGAUGAGGUGCUA
rnacentral:rRNA from 1 species